rnacentral:rRNA from 1 species
UGGGGAAUCUUGCGCAAUGGGCGAAAGCCUGACGCAGCAACGCCGCGUGCGGGAUGAAGGCCUUCGGGUUGUAAACCGCUUUCAGGAGGGACGAAAACAGACGGUACCUCCAGAAGAAGCCCCGGCCAACUACGUGCCAGCAGCCGCGGUAACACGUAGGGGGCGAGCGUUGUCCGGAUUUAUUGGGCGUAAAGAGCUCGUAGGCGGCUUAGUAAGUCAGGUGUGAAACCUCCAGGCUCAACCUGGAGACGCCACCUGAUACUGCUGUGGCUAGAGUCCGGUAGGGGAGCAGGGAACUCCUGGUGUAGCGGUGAAAUGCGCAGAUAUCAGGAAGAACACCAGCGGCGAAGGCGCUGCUCUGGGCCGGAACUGACGCUGAGGAGCGAAAGCGUGGGGAGCAAACAGG